GACGAACGCUGGCGGCGUGCUUAACACAUGCAAGUCGAACGGAAAGGCCCUGCUUUUGUGGGGUGCUCGAGUGGCGAACGGGUGUGUAACACGUGAGUAACCUGCCCUUGACUUUGGGAUAACUUCAGGAAACUGGGGCUAAUACCGGAUAGGAGCUCCUGCUGCACGGUGUGGGUUGGAAAGUUUCGGCGGUUUGGGAUGGACUCGCGGCUUAUCAGCUUGUUGGUGGGGUAGUGGCUUACCAAGGCUUUGACGGGUAGCCGGCCUGAGAGGGUGACCGGCCACAUUGGGACUGAGAGACGGCCCAGACGCCUACGGGAGGCAGCAGUGGAGAAUAUUGCACAAUGGGCGGAAGCCUGAUGCAGCAACGCCGCGUGCGGGAUGACGGCCGUCGGGUUGUAAACCGCUGUCGCCUGUGACGAAGCGUGAGUGACGGUAAUGGGUAAAGAAGCACCGGCUAACUACGU
rnacentral:rRNA from 1 species